rnacentral:rRNA from 1 species
AACGAACGCUGGCGGCAGGCCUAACACAUGCAAGUCGAACGUGAAGCAGGAGCUUGCUCCUGUGGAAAGUGGCAGACGGGUGAGUAACGCGUGGGAAUUUACCCAGCUCUACGGAAUAACGCAGGGAAACUUGUGCUAAUACCGUAUACGCCCUUCGGGGGAAAGAUUUAUCGGAGUUGGAUGAGCCCGCGUUAGAUUAGUUUGUUGGUGGGGUAAUGGCCUACCAAGACUACGAUCUAUAGCUGGUCUGAGAGGAUGAUCAGCCACACUGGGACUGAGACACGGCCCAG